rnacentral:rRNA from 1 species
GUGGGGAAUUUUGCACAAUGGGCGCAAGCCUGAUGCAGCAACGCCGCGUGUGUGAUGAAGGUUUUCGGAUCGUAAAGCACUUUCGACCGGGAAGAAAACGCGACACCUAACACGUGUCGAACUGACGGUACCGGGAGAAGAAGCACCGGCUAACUCUGUGCCAGCAGCCGCGGUAAUACAGAGGGUGCAAGCGUUGUUCGGAAUUAUUGGGCGUAAAGCGCGUGUAGGCGGCAUGGUAAGUCGGGUGUGAAAUCCCUCAGCUCAACUGAGGAAGUGCGCCCGAAACUGCCGUGCUUGAGUGCCGGAGAGGAUGGCGGAAUUCCCCAAGUAGAGGUGAAAUUCGUAGAUAUGGGGAGGAACACCGGUGGCGAAGGCGGCCAUCUGGACGGCAACUGACGCUGAGACGCGAAAGCGUGGGUAGCAAACAGGAUUAGAUACCCUGGUAGUCC